rnacentral:rRNA from 1 species
UACGUAGGGGGCAAGCGUUGUCCGGAUUUAUUGGGCGUAAAGAGCUCGUAGGCGGCUUGUCGCGUCGGAUGUGAAAGCCCGGGGCUUAACUCCGGGUCUGCAUUCGAUACGGGCAGGCUAGAGUUCGGUAGGGGAGAUCGGAAUUCCUGGUGUAGCGGUGAGAUGCGCAGAUAUCAGGAGGAACACCGGUGGCGAAGGCGGAUCUCUGGGCCGAUACUGACGCUGAGGAGCGAAAGCGUGGGGAGCGAACAGG